UACGGUAGGGGGCUAGCGUUGUCCGGAUUUAUUGGGCGUAAAGAGCGUGUAGGCGGCCAGGUAGGUCUGCUGUGAAAACUCGAGGCUCAACCUCGAGACGUCGGCGGAAACCAUCUGGCUAGAGUCCGGAAGAGGAGAGUGGAAUUCCUGGUGUAGCGGUGAAAUGCGCAGAUAUCAGGAAGAACACCCGUGGCGAAGGCGGCUCUCUGGGACGGUACUGACGCUGAGACGCGAAAGCGUGGGGAGCGAACAGG
rnacentral:rRNA from 1 species